GCCAGAAGCCGUAUCACCCUCCAGCUCUCAACUGGCUGCCCCCUGAAGCUAAGCAGGGUUGAGCCUGGUCAGUACCUGGAUGGGAGAACUCCUGGGAAGCUAUGGUUGCUGGUG
rnacentral:rRNA from 1 species